UACAGAGGUCUCAAGCGUUGUUCGGAUUCAUUGGGCGUAAAGGGUGUGUAGGUGGCGCCAUAAGUCGGGUGUGAAAUUUCGGAGCUUAACUCCGAAACUGCAUUCGAUACUGCGGUGCUUGAGGACUGGAGAGGAGACUGGAAUUCAUGGUGUAGCAGUGAAAUGCGUAGAGAUCAUGAGGAAGACCAGUGGCGAAGGCGGGUCUCUGGACAGUUCCUGACACUGAGACACGAAGGCCAGGGGAGCAAACGGG
rnacentral:rRNA from 1 species